UGGCUCAGCUGGUAAAGCGUCUGCCUACAAUGCAGGAGACCUGGGUUCAAUCCCUG
rnacentral:tRNA from 1 species